GUGUGUGUUGACAUGGGCGUGUCUCUCAGGUGUGUGUGGAUGUGGGCGUGUCUCUCAGGUGUGUGUUGACAUGGGCAUGUUUUACAGGUGGAGGUCCAGAGGCGUCCAUGGCUCUACGAUGACGAAGACGGCCGGCAGGUCGGAGGCUUUGUCAAAGAGUUUGACAACAUCGCCUUCCUCACUGUCAAGGGUUCGGGUCACAUGGUCCCAUCAGAUAAACCAGUCGCUGCCUUCGCCAUGUUCUCCAGGUUCAUCAAGGGUCAGCCCUACUGACCCUCUGACCCCUGACCCCUGCUCUGUUUGGACUCUUUGGGCUGCCGUACUUUUUUUUUUUUUUCUAUCACUGCCAACCAAUCAGUACAGAAAUGAAACCGCUCAACCUCGGCCAAUCACAUCGCUCCUCCUGGUCGUCUCCUCUGGUGAUGCAUUGCCGUGGAAACUAGCGCUGCCAUCAGUCAGCUUUUUGAAUGUGAAACUUGUUUUUGUUGAUUUUGUGAAUUAAAAAUAAAGUUUUUGGAGUUUG